GCUCUCUUAGAGAACACAUUUACUAAUAUUGAAACAAUACAGAGAAGACUAGCAUGUCUCCUGUGCAAGGAUGAAGGGCAAAUUUGUGAAGUGUUUCAUAGUUAA